rnacentral:lncRNA from 7 species
AUCAGCCUCUCUGUCCAGCACAUCACAACAGGAUGACUAAUUUGAGGAGAGAUCAUCACGGAGGUUUUUGUUCUAAAAGAGUUUUGCAGUACCACUCAACACUUGCUUAAAUGAUUUAUCAGAACAGACUGCUGCACAGCUCUUGAAGCAGCUCCAAACUGCUGCCAUUUCCAGUCUGAAAUGCAGGUGUGAAGGACAUGCAAGAGGACAUGCAGGGGAGGCAUUCAGGAGCAACUGCAGUCAACAGGGGCAAGAGGGAGCCCAGAUCACCCAACAGGAUCACAUACUUCGUCAAGUGUGGAAAGUCUCUUUGCUUUGUUUCGGUGCUCCUAGCACAACCAAGCUGCCUAACGACGAGGUGAAAAAGAAAAGGUGAAAAGCAGUGCUUGGCCAAACAAACACAUGGCUCCUGUCCAUGACCUCUGACACACUCUGCAAAGUUGUUUGAAGGCAUGUCCAUGGCAAAGAGAAUACCCAAGGCAAGUGGAAACUCCAUUAGAUGAGUCAUUAGCUUGAGCAUCACAAAAACAAAAUGAACAACAACAACAACAACAAAAAAAGCAACCAUGAAGCAGCAUUAAAAUUAUAACUAGAGAAGCCUUUUAGCUAGUUACAUUACUGUAAUGAUGUUCCAGUCUUUGCAAAACAGCCUGAAACGUGUAGGCACUAAUCUUUGCAGAAUCUGUCUGCAUACACGUUUCAUAUUUGAUCACUCCUAGCCUAAGGAGGAGUUACUGAACAGAAAUCUCUGUCUCUGUGAGCUGAAGUUAAGGUAAAGCACACCACUUGCUCAGGAACAGUUCCUUUUCAAGCUGAGGUUACCAGAGUAUGAAAGCUUAAAAUAAAUUGCUCUUUGGGGACUGUUUUCUGCAGCAUGCCAUAUGGUGCCUAUAACUAACUCUGUAUUUGCAUAGGACACCUUAGUGCACCAGGCAUGAUGAUCAAUGCCUGUUGUUGACUUUAGAGACUUACCUGAGAAUAUUGCUUGGAUUUAAAUGGCAGUUGCAUGGGGAGAGUAUUGCUGAUUAAUUGAUAUGGGACACAGUACACUCACAAAAAUAUAUUCAUGUGUCACCUAAUAGCUAUUUUACUACCACAUACAGCUUUUGCAGAUAGGCCCUGUUUGAAAAAUCGGCUCUAAAUGAAAGGAGGGCCAGAGCAAAAGGGAAUUUUUGUUAGUAAAGCAGAGGCCACAAUUUGCUUGAGCUUUUCUGCUUUGUGGGAGAGCAGCUGCCUUUAUGGGGCACUACCACUGUGCUCACUUGACAGAAGCUGCUGAGUUUGCAGCAUGGCAGCCUCAAACAUCCUAACAGCAAAAGGAAAAAUAAAAUAAAGACAUUAUUCAUAUCUAAUUUCAUUGCACAGGUACAGCAGAAAUCUAAUAAACCUCAUCUCAUCCUUACAAUAACACUACAACUAACUCAGAACUAAAAGGCCAUGCAUUGACUUCACUCAAGGAAGUUAUAAGCAGAUAUUAACUUCAUAAUAUAAAGGGUCUGAAGCACAAGCUUAAAUUCUCCUUCCCAUUUAGCAUAAUUUAGUUGCUGUCAUCAGUGGAACUGCAUGACCAAAACAAACUCCACCUGCGUGAAAAAUUGGGAUCACUGUGUCUGGCAAAAAUGAAAAUUACAGUAUCUGAGCUUCUGCAUGAAAGCCCACGGUGGCACAAUUUGAAAGUGCCAGUCUGGAAAAAGCAGAGCUACCAGGGCUUUCCCAUAGAGGGAAGGAAAUGCUCAGACCUCCUUGUUUAUGUCCUUCAUCAUUUUACAAAUCCCCCUCUUCUUCUCUGAGUUGCACUUUAUCAGGCGGAAGACACCCAGGUCAUAUUUAGCACCUCCACCAGAGAAUCCAUUCCAAGCUGAUCUUUUUCACCCAACCAUGUAGCAUUUCCACAUUCACUAUAUCCUCCAGCACCGCAGUAUUAAAAAUAGCCCAAGUUCAAUUUGGGGCCAAAAAGAAGGGGAGGAACCAAUGUGAAGGUUAGGGUAUGAUUUUGCCACAGGCUCCCACUCCUGCAUGGCACGUGGUGCAGCAGGGAGCCUGACCAGGUGCUGCAGCUGGUGUCAGAGGCAAGGCACAGCCUUGGCACAGGUAGAGGUUGGGGUUCCCCAGUGUGCUGCACCCCAUAACCUCAGGAGAGAAUUAAUUUCCCUCCUCUGUGCAAGGUAGGAGCUCUCACUCAGCUCCACUAAGAGGAGCUCUUCCCUGCACCUAAAGCACAGCAAAAUCUGAGCAUUCAAAAUCUGCGCUGAUGAUACAGAUUACCACAGAAAGCCUAAUUGCAUGCAUAGUGCUUUGUACAGCUAAAUGAAGGCUUAACGGUCCCUGAUCACAGGAAAAAAGGAUCCAGUUCCUCAAACUCCUGUUACAUCAAAGCUAAGCGCAACAUGAGGGAUCUUCCAGUCUGCCAGGCAGCAAGAGACUGCCUGAGAGCACGCAGAGAUGAGGUCAAGUGAACAAAGGCUCAUUGGAACAAACCACUCCAUAGUUACAGGGGAAAGAAGUGGAAAAGGGGGAAGGGGUACAUAAUUUAACAGAGUCUGUGUAAAAAUUUGCUCUACUUUCUGUUUACUCUGUGCAGGAGUAUGUAUGCCUACACAGUCAUAGCAUAUUUCACUCGUAAGGUGCCCGUAUCUGAGCACAGACACACAGUGCUUUUGUACUUAAAAAAAUCCCCCAGGAAUUU